rnacentral:tRNA from 1 species
UGCGUGUUAUUCCCUGACGAAAUCCACAUCUCCCGCAGUCUGAGACGCACCCUGAACAGUGGCCG